AGAGUUUGAUCAUGGCUCAGGAUGAACGCUGGCGGCGUGCCUAAUACAUGCAAGUCGAACGGUUAAGGCUUCCACUCUGUGUUUAAUGAUUUGAACAUAGUGUGGAAGUACACGAGUGGCGGACGGCUGAGUAACGCGUAGGAAUGUACCCCAAAGUGAGGGAUAAGCACCGGAAACGGUGUCUAAUACCGCAUGUGCUCUAAGGAGUAAAGCUUCGGCGCUUUGGGAACGGCCUGCGUAUGAUUAGCUUGUUGGUGAGGUAAUGGCUCACCAAGGCGACGAUCAUUAGCUGGUCUGAGAGGAUGAUCAGCCAGACUGGGACUGAGACACGGCCCAGACUCCUACGGGAGGCAGCAGUAGGGAAUUUUCCACAAUGGGCGAAAGCCUGAUGGAGCAACGCCGCGUGCAGGAUGAAGGCCUUCGGGUUGUAAACUGCUUUUAUAAGUGAAGAUUAUGACGGUAACUUAUGAAUAAGGAUCGGCUAACUCCGUG
rnacentral:rRNA from 1 species